AUACGGGGGGUGCAAGCGUUAUUCGGAUUUAUUGGGCGUAAAGGGCGCGUAGGCGGCUUGGUAAGUCAGAUGUGAAAGCCCGGGGCUCAACCCCGGAAGUGCAUUUGAAACUAGCAGGCUUGAGUAUGGGAGAGGGAAGUGGAAUUCCUGGUGUAGAGGUGAAAUUCGUAGAUAUCAGGAGGAACACCGGUGGCGAAGGCGACUUCCUGGACCAAUACUGACGCUGAGGCGCGAAGGCGUGGGGAGCAAACAGGAUUAGAAACCCCAGUAGUCC
rnacentral:rRNA from 1 species